rnacentral:antisense_RNA from 1 species
GAUAACCGAAGAUAGUCGCGGGGUUCAGAGUAGGAUUGGUAAUGACUCUAACGUCACCACCACCGGGAGCCCAAGUAUCAUAUACACCACCGAAAAACAUGGCUUUGAACACUAGUAGUAGUGCUCCACAGCCCAAUAAAAUUAGGUGAUAUCCAAUGAUAUUGGUCAUUUGGUUUUUAUCUUUCCA